rnacentral:rRNA from 1 species
CUUUUAUACUGUGAAACUGCGAAUGGCUCAUUAAAUCAGUUAUCGUCUAUUUGAUUGUGCCCCUGCUACAUGGAUAACCGUAGUAAUUCUAGAGCUAAUACAUGCGAAAAGUCCCGACUUCUGGAAGGGAUGUAUUUAUUAGAUUAAAAACCAGCGCGUUCCGCAAGGGACGCUCCAAGGUGAUUCAUAAUAACUGUUCGAAUCGCACGGCCUCCGCGCCGGCGAUGUUUCAUUCGAGUUUCUGCCCUAUCAACUUUCGAUGGUAAGGUAUUGGCUUACCAUGGUUACAACGGGUAACGGAGAAUUAGGGUUCGAUUCCGGAGAGGGAGCCCGAGAAACGGCUACCACAUCCAAGGAAGGCAGCAGGCGCGCAAAUUACCCAAUCCCGAUUCGGGGAGGUAGUGACAAUAAAUAACGUUGCAGGUGCCUUUGGCCUCUGCAGUCGGAAUGAGUACAAUACAACACCCUUAACGAGGAACAAUUGGAGGGCAAGUCUGGUGCCAGCAGCCGCGGUAAUUCCAGCUCCAAUAGCGUAUAUUAAAGUUGUUGCAGUUAAAAAGCUCGUAGUUGAACUUCGGAACCGGUCGAUUGGUCCGUCCUCUGGAUUGUGUACUGAUCGAUCUGUUCUUCUUCGCGAAGACCGCGUGUGCCCUUAACUGGGUGUGCACGGGAUUCACGACGUUUACUUUGAAAAAAUUAGAGUGUUCAAAGCAGGCAUUCGCUUGAAUAUCUCAGCAUGGAAUAAUAGAAUAGGACUUUGGUCUUAUUUUGUUGGUUUCCGAGACCGAAGUAAUGAUUAAUAGGGACAGUUGGGGGCAUUCGUAUUUCAUUGUCAGAGGUGAAAUUCUUGGAUUUAUGAAAGACGAACUUCUGCGAAAGCAUUUGCCAAGGAUGUUUUCAUUAAUCAAGAACGAAAGUUGGAGGCUCGAAGACGAUCAGAUACCGUCCUAGUUCCAACCAUAAACGAUGCCGUCUGCGGAUCAGCGGUCGCUCAUUUAAGGCUCCGUUGGCACGCUAUGAGAAAUCAAAGACUUCGGGUUCCGGGGGGAG